GGGGAAUAUUGCGCAAUGGGGGAAACCCUGACGCAGCGACGCCGUGUGAGGGAAGAAGGCUUUCGGGUCGUAAACCUCUGUCGGGAAGGAAGAACCCCUCGGGUCCCAAUAGGGCUCGAGGCUGACGGUACUUCCAAAGGAAGCACCGGCUAACUCCGUGCCAGCAGCCGCGGUAAUACGGAGGGUGCAAGCGUUAAUCGGAAUCACUGGGCGUAAAGCGCGCGUAGGCGGCCUUUUAAGUCGGACGUGAAAGCCCUCGGCUCAACCGGGGAAUUGCGUUCGAUACUGGGAGGCUUGAGUCCUGGAGAGGGUGGCGGAAUUCCGGGUGUAGGAGUGAAAUCCGUAGAUAUCCGGAGGAACACCGGUGGCGAAGGCGGCCACCUGGACAGGUACUGACGCUGA
rnacentral:rRNA from 1 species